UCCCCGGCGCGUCUUUCCCGGCCCGCCCGGUGCAUUGUGGGCUGACGUCUUGGUUUGGCUGUCUAGUGACGGAGGCUGCCGGGUCGGCUGGACCCUUGCGGCGUCUGUCGGAGGCGGGCUCAAGUUCAGGGAUGGGGACCCAGAUCAAGACCCGAGACGCGGGGAUCCACUGGGGAGGCGCGCUAGUGGCUCGGGGCGGAAGGCCUGGGAGGGGAGUGGAGGUGGCACACACGAGAGUGGAGGUGACGCGCACAGAUGCACACACACACGCACGCACACACACGCGAACACUCACACACGUGUGAAGGGGCUGAGCGACCUGAGCUCCAGCAGGCUCUGCACCCCCGCACUUCCGGGAGGCAGCGGCGCGGGUUAAGAUGGUUGUGUGUGCCCCGGGGAGUGCGAAAUUGGGUUGAAGUUGAACGGGCUUGAGAGUGUCCCUCCCACGUCUUGAGCACGCGUGGAAGUUUGUCUCUUGGUUAAGUUCCGGCAGGGGAUCUGCGCCGCCGUGUGCUGUACCUGGAAGCCCGAGAUUUGCGGUACUAGGAACCGGACUCCUCUGGGUCCUCGGCACAACACGUCACCCUCUGGGGACAUGCGGGGAGGGGCUCGCUUUGCCUCGGAGGGACGCGUUUUCUAGAAGUGAAAUUAAGGUGCCACCCCAGCGCCCAUGGGGAGGGGGGGUCAAAACCAACAUUUAAGGGUACAAAACUCGGGAAACCCCGGCGAUCGCCUGUGCUCGAUCGCACACACGGUCCCGCGCGCGCACAGCUCGCGCCCGCCCUUUCCCCCUCCUGAUUUGCUUCUGGGAAAACAAGUCUUGAGAGCCGCCGACUCGCCCGAAAGUCACGCUGCCUAAGCGGGAGUCCCUGGUAAAAGCAGGCUAAACGCUCCCCUCCCCGCCCGCUGGUGGAGCCAUAUCCUCUGCGGCCUCUAGGAAGCGCUAGACACAUGUAAGUGGUUUCUUUCCUAGGGCGCUGCUAUCCGACCUCCAUCCUCCACCCCUUAGGUCUAAAGAGGUAGCAAGCCCGGCUCUCUCAUUGUGUAAGUGUAAAUCUCGGAACUUCUCUGAACUCUAUUGGCCUCAUCUACAGGUAGAGCGGGUGAGAUCCACCGUAUCGGGCUGCCAGACAUUAGUGGUAUCUUCCUUGACUCCUGGACUAGAAGGUGGUCAACUGGCUGUCCCCUUCCUUGCUGGCUGCGGUGUUUCCCCUGGGUCUUCUUGGGAGUACCAGACUACAGGGGUGUGAUUUGACUGAUUUGGCAGGAGCCGGUGAGCAAAGUAGCAAAAGGCCAUGAGCCUGCUUUUUCCCCAAGCCUCCUUUUUGCCCAGGACUUAAGGUUUGAAGUUGAACCUUUUUUAAGUUCCGAGGUUCUAAUUUGAACUUUGCUGCCUCAGAACUCAGCCCAGGGUUUGUAGCCUUAAGAUGUUUUGCCUUGAAGCAUUCAGAGCCCAAUAGCAGCCGGUAUCGGUGGGAAAACGGCCAACUCUUUUUACCCUGCCCCUGCGUGCUCAUUUCGCUUUCGCUCGGGCUACAGAGGGUAACUAAGAGGCUGCUGCCAGCCAAGCACUGACCUUUGUGGGGGCAGGGUAGAUAGAGCAGGGUUUCUGUGAAGUCCAGAUCCAUUUACUUCCCUCAAAGAGAGAAUGAGUUCCCCUAAUCAAGGAGCUCAUAUUCUACAUGAUUUAUGAUAACAGUAAUAAAAGUAAGUUUUGUCCAUUAAACAGCCACUAACUGCCCGUUAGCCCGAGCACUUGAAGUAUGCUGUUUCCUUCCCACAGCCAUCUUGAGGCGCAUACAUUUUUACCUAGACUUUACACAGGAGGAACUAAUCCCAGAAAGUUCAUGUGUCUUGCUUGGGGUACAGGGACAGCUGGAGAGUGACCUUAAAUCUGUGUUACAUUCCUUUGUAUUUUCUCCACUCUGGCAAACUUUUUCUCAAAGCUUUGAUUGUCUGCUUGGGAAGUGUUGUUGAUGGCCUAGAAGUUGUUUUCUUGUUCCUGUAUUUAGAAACUCAGGGGCUUAGGACUGUUUAAGUAUGUAUCUUUUGCCCAAGGGUCCUCUCCUGCCUCCUGCGGCCUAGGAGGCCAAUUUUCUACUUCGGUUAAGAAAUAGCACGUUUCAUCCAAGGCGCAAAAGUUGUGCUCUUGCUAAUGCCUCUGCUUGCAAGCCACCAUCAACUUCCUCUUUGUCUGGGAGGAGGGGUUUUUCCCAGUCCAGACAGCCAGUGCUAUCUAGCCUCAUCUUGUUGGAGGCUCAGUUGCAAAGCGCUGGGCUAUGCUACCCCAAACUCAUCACACCAGAGGUCGAAGUCAAUAUAUGAUGAUUUCUUGCUCCCCCCACCCCCACUACUUGCCCAGUGUGGCUGAGCAGGGAACUCUGUCCACUGUCCUGCUUCUCACCAGCUGUGACUGAAGGGGGACCUCAGCAAAGCUCUGACUGACUCUCAGUGUAUUCCCCUGGAAGUGGCACCUUUCUUUCUCAUAUGCCACUGCCCAAAGCCAGUCAGGAGGCCAUGCCUGAGACUGAGGGCCUGAAAGGGGUCCUUCCUGUCUUCUUUCCUUCUUCAGGGGGAAUCAGCCCCAACAACCCCUCAGUUACAGCAUAAAGUUCACAUCCAGGCUUUAAGAGGUAGUGUAGAGGGGCGUCAGGUCCAGGUGUGUCUUCCUCUGAGGGAGAACUAGCUACCCUGCACCCCAUUCACUUUAUAUGAUGGGGCAGAGACAGGGCUCUGCUUGGGAAGGGAAGGACCUGAGGUCACAGUAGAUCCUAGCCCCUGAGUGUUUUCAGAACACGCCCACCCCUCAAUCCAUUCCUUCAAUUAGGACCUGGUUCUGCUCGUAGGACCACUUUCUGUGACCCUGGGUUUGCCCAAAGUCUUCCAAAGACUUAAUGAAGACCCAGGGCUUUAAAAGACCUUGAAAAUAGUCUUUUGUAAUGCAGGUUGAUUGUAAUUCCCAUACAAGUGUAGUUUCUUAUAGGAUACAAGGUAUUCCGUGUGCCAGUAGGCACAGCAGCUGUUCUUCUCUGGUCCCAUUCCAGUGGUUUGCCCCAUUUCUUUGCUUUUUUACUCUUCUACCUCAUGUUCUGCUUCUCUCUUUCCUCUUGGUUUUGAGUAUGCUAGUCUUAGGAGAUGGGGAAGUUGUACCUUCCUUCUCCUCUCCAGAGCUGAAUGAACAUUAGGUACCAUCAUUCAGUAUACCGAGGGAUUGGUCUGGAUAGUUUGAGACAGGCUCUUGUUAUAGCCCAGGCUAACCUUGAAGGCAACCCUCCUGCCUCCAACUCCCAAACACUGAGGUCACAGUGUUCACCAUCGUUUUAUGUGUGUCUUGAGAGUUUUAACAAUAGGUUAUUUCCCCUUGAACUGAUCCUUGGUGCAAGGCUGUCUUCUCCAGACCCUUCUCUUGCUUAUUUUAUUUUCUUGGGAUUGCCUCUGUUCAACCUGCAAACCUCCAAAGUUUUGGAUUUUCUGCUCCCUUUUGUUGCUACUUAUGAUGUGGCCACAUUGGCCUAGAUCUUACUUUAGUAGCCACCCGCAAAUGCUCCUGGCCUGGUGUUAUAACCUCUUGCUUUCUCUCAUUAGGUCCAGUUGUAAGGCGCUGUCGAUAAGAUCAGUUGUGCCUACUUGGAAGAGGUCAUCACAGUUGGGUGUGUGCUGUUGACAUUCCCUACUCAGAAGGAGAGAGAGAUAGUGUCACUGGACCCUCACCAGAGCAUCCAGUCACUCCCUUCUGCCAUGUGUAUGCAAUUGUACCCUAAUUGUAUGUGGCUGUGGGGUCUCCGGGUGUGGGUGGAUUGUAUUGUCUGGGGAAGACUUGGGGAAAGAGUCUCCAUCCACGCAGCCACAGGUGAGCUAUCAUCAAUGCUGGUACAGGUCUUGCAGCUGAGCUGCUUUAGAGUCUCCCACAAUUCUGCCUCCGUCUUCUAUCAGGAAGCCUUAUGAACUCACUGGUUUCCCUGGUGAAAUGUGGUAGACUCAAACUUGGAUUUGUUGGUGGGCCCUUAGAAGUUGGAGGUAGGUGCUGCUUAGUCUCUCCACCUCCACUACCCCACCACCCACCCAGGGGGAAAAUUCUGACAGGUUCAUUAUCUGUCUCUUAACUUAUGACGGGUGAGGUUUGCCAAAAAGAUCACUACCCUUUCCGCCUGUGUCCUUAGCUGUUGGCCAGUCAAGAUGAAUGGUUGGCUUUUGUGUAUCUUGGUUUUAUUGUGUUACCCCAUGCCAUGUUUUAAAUGAGUCAGGUCAAGUGCAGUUACACUGCUAUAACACAGAGCCCUAAAAAAAUCUCAGUAGCUUAUAGAGAAAUUUACUUCUUGCUCAUUGUAUAUGCUCGGGUUCGGAAGGGCUGUGCUUAAUGUGUUUCCCUCAUCUUUAGAAGUUUUCGUCUUGAAUCGUGCUUCUGGAAUCAUGACAGUCAUCUUGGUGGGGAAAGAAGGGUCGAGUCCAUGCCGACUUUAAGAGCUUUUUCCAGGCUUGCUUCAGAAAGUCUUCUCGUUAUUCCUGGGAAUGUACGGGACUUCAAGGACAUACAGAAGAACAGAGCCACGGGUAGAAGGAACCUUGAUCUCUGAAUAACCCCGUGGAAGGAUGUUCCUGCUGAACUUUGGAUGACCAAUCAGUUUCAUUGUGAUGGUUCACUGGAAUUUUGGAGUAGCGAUGAUAAUGUCUUCUUAUUUCAGUAGGUGCUUUUAGGAUACCCUAAAGAAGAAACGCUGGGUUGAAGUUGGCACCUUUGUCCUGGCUGUCCCAGCUUGAAAGGAAAGAGGGUAGUGCCAAUUAUAUACUGGUGUGUUCCUGUUGAGUUUAUAAGCUGCGCGAGACAUGUCAGGAUGUCUUUAUCUUUUUCUGUAUUUAAUCUUUGAGUGGGCAUGUAUUGAAAUGUCAGGUUUUGGGGGGGGAUUUCAGAAUACCAGUAUCACAUAGUGCUAAAUAUCUUAUUAAUACAUUCAAUAUUUUUGAGUGUUUGAUGUCUGUUAGCCACUGGCAAUUGUUGGUAGACAGCAGUGUCAGGGCCUGACCACUGGUUGAGGUACAGCAGGGAAAAUGGAUAAGAGGGGGAGGUAAGAUGAGCGCAGCUUGAUAAUGCUCUGAGCUACAGGAUUCCUGGGUGGAGGGGCCUUCUGUCCAGGAUAGUUGAAGAAAGUGCUUUGGAGAAACUGGUUAAUAAAAAUCUUCCAAAGUAAGUGGAAUUAGGCAGGGGAAGGAGAGGUAGCAAAGAGAAGAGGAAGAGGAGGUAAGUCCAUGAAGGUGUCGAUACUAGGGACCAGGGCACGUUUGGAGCUGUAACAGAGGGAUGGGAAGGAGGAACUUGGGAUAGAUACAUCUAUGCACAUGUUGAGAUGCCUUGGUAGGCUUCGUAAUGUGGCCAGUUGUCAUAUGUAAAGUGUCUGUGUCCCUAGGGGCAGAUGUGCCGUAGCCACCAAGGUGCUGACACGUGUGAUAUCUGUGUAGCUCCUACUUGCUUCAUUAUCUACCCUCUUUGUUUCUGAGUUUUCUACAGUGAACAUGUAUGACAUUGGCAAUUAAAAAUAAAAACAUUUUUAUAUGA